UCAAGGACAAUCCUUAAAUCCUAUCAAAUUUUUCUAACUUCCGUUACUUGUGCAAGGGCAAUUCAUUCCACGAAUUAUUAAAAAAUUCAUUAUUUUUAAAAAUAAACAGUACAAAACUAAAUUUUAAAAACAAAUUAGUUUUAAAAUAGAAAUAAAACCUCUCUGUCCCUUUCUCCUCCUAACCCCAACACCUACCAACAAUCCCCACCCAACCUUAGCCACCACCUCCCAGUAACCCAACCACCACCCUAGCAACCCAAGCUUGCUAGAACCUUAAACAAUCAAAUCACCACCUUGCUUCAAGCGAUGAACUCCAUUUUGAUAAUUCCUUAGACCAUCUCCAAUCUUUUACCUCCACAUUUUCCCUUAGAAAUCUAACUUCAAUGAUUUUGGGAUCCUCGAACUUGAUCGGAUGAAAAGUUCAUGGAAUUCUCAAAUAUGGGAAAGGCUUAAGAAUGGGUGGGACACAAUUUCAUCGUCAUUUUCCGUGAUUCGGAAGGAUUGAAGUAGCUUUAAGGGCCGUUGUAAGGAUGGGUUAUAUCCAUUGUCCUUGUUUUCGCCCUCCGCUUCUAUUACUCCUCAUGAGUUCACCACAUCUCAUCUUCAACUUGCCACAACCAUCUAGGUCACCCAUCUUCUUUAGUUCUCUCUCGUUUAAUCUUUCAUUUUGGGUCAUAUUUUUCAUUUCAAUAAGGAUUUUGUACGGGUUGUGCCCUUAGUAUAUCAACCCAAUUACCCUAUUCUAUUUAACGAAUCUCGAUGUUUGGAUGUCUUCCAUUUCUUGUGUGAGUGGCUUCUGUUACUGUCUUAUUUAUUGAUGAUUUUUCUAGAUAUUUAUGGAUCUAUGCAACAUAAAUUCAUCCA